UUUUAUUUUUAUUUUUAAUUAGAUAUAUAAGAUUCAUGUCUAAUAUGCUAUUUCUACCAGAUUCCUAAGCAUAACCUAUUUCUCUUGCACCACAGUCAACAUCUACUUAAAGAACUAGGAUGACAGAGACUUAGUGCCAACACUCAUUUACACUUUCUUCAUAAUAUCUCAAUAUACUAUGAAUGCACUGGGUAUGGAGAUUAGGUAAUUAUUUUCUAAUCCUUAAUAAAUCUUGAUUCAUCAACAAAGAAAAUUAAAUUGAUUAUUUACAUCCCAUUAUACCAAAAGAAACCAAACACAGCACAAAAUACUAAACACAAUACAUCUAACAAAAUAACCAAUAAAAUCAAAUUCCCACACUUACG
rnacentral:misc_RNA from 1 species